rnacentral:rRNA from 1 species
CAGCAGCCGCGGGAAAACGUAGGUGGCAAGCGUUGUCCGGAAUUAUUGGGCGUAAAGGGCUCGCAGGCGGUUUCUUAAGUCUGAUGUGAAAGCCCCCGACUCAACCGGGGAGGGUCAUUGGAAACUGGGAAACUUGAGUGCAGAAGAGGAGAGUGGAAUUCCACGUGUAGCGGUGAAAUGCGUAGAGAUGUGGAGGAACACCAGUGGCGAAGGCGACUCUCUGGUCUGUAACUGACGCUGAGGAGCGAAAGCGUGGGGAGCGAACAGGAUUAGAGACCCGCGUAGUCCCUGUCUCUUAUAC